AUUGAACGCUGGCGGCAGGCUUAACACAUGCAAGUCGAGCGGAGAUGAGGUGCUUGCACCUUAUCUUAGCGGCGGACGGGUGAGUAAUGCUUAGGAAUCUGCCUAUUAGUGGGGGACAACAUUCCGAAAGGAAUGCUAAUACCGCAUACGCCCUACGGGGGAAAGCAGGGGAUCUACGGACCUUGCGCUAAUAGAUGAGCCUAAGUCGGAUUAGCUAGUUGGUGGGGUAAAGGCCUACCAAGGCGACGAUCUGUAGCGGGUCUGAGAGGAUGAUCCGCCACACUGGGACUGGGACACGGCCCAGACUCCUACGGGAGGCAGCAGUGGGGAAUAUUGGACAAUGGGCGGAAGCCUGAUCCAGCCAUGCCGCGUGUGUGAAGAAGGCCUUUUGGUUGUAAAGCACUUUAAGCGAGGAGGAGGCUACCUGGAUUAAUACUCUAGGAUAGUGGACGUUACUCGCAGAAUAAGCACCGGCUAACUCUGUGCCAGCAGCCGCCGUAACAC
rnacentral:rRNA from 1 species